CCUGAUGCAGAUAAGGUCGCCCUCGUCCCCCUGUGAACCCUAGCCGCCCACUUCAUCUCCACCUCGCGUCGCUCUCUUCUCCUCGCGUGCGCCCGAAGCACCGUCGCCACUAGCUGCUGCAUCGCCGUGGCCACCGACCUCCCCGUCGGCCAAGACUUCGCCAGGAGCUCCGCCCGCUUCCUCUGCUUCGUCUACAAGGGCUAGAUCGAGCCCAUCCUCGAUGCAUCGCCGGACCGCGCCGAUCUCCUCCGUCAGCGUUCGCCUCGGCCACGGCUUCGAUCCACCGUCGUUCGAACCUCCCGGAACCACCUGCUCUCGCCGUUGCCACCACUGUGAGACCCAGCUCCUCCUUCCUUUCCCUGUAUCGAUCCGGUCCUCUAGAGCAACCUCGUCGUUUGUCCGCGUACCACUGUAGGCCGCCGUCACCGCCGUGCCCGACGCCGUCGGAGGUCGUGCUCGCUGCGCCACAGUCCGCGCUCGCGCGCCUCUGGCCGCGUUAGGCCUUGCUGGCUCGCACCCGCCGCUCCCUGGCCGCGCCCAGGCGCGCCGCCAUAGUCGUCCGCGUCCCUGCCGCUGCUCUACUGCUGCUUGUACAGCUGCUCCUCGCGCGCGGACGUUCGCCCGGGCGGCGCCCCUGUCCCGCUAGCUGCCGUGAUGGUUGCUGCUGCUUACUACUGAAUAUUGAUGAGGCUGCUAUGUUGCUGCUUCUCGCAUGCCGCUGACGCUUGCCGGCUGCUGAUCUACUAGCAGACACCACUGCCGUUUUGAUGUUGCUGAUAUGCCGCUGCUACUCUUUUGCUGUUGCUAUUCAUUUUUGCUACUGCUGCUCUUCUUGCUGCCACUGUUGGUUGCUCCAGCGCUAGCCUCGCAUGUGGCCGUGGCCAUGGCUGAACACACAUGGGUUGUGCGUGUAUGUGCACAUCCGUGGUGCUACUUGCGCCUCUGGCCGACCCUAUGCAAAUUACUUCAGGGGAUAAUUACUAGUUAGAUUAGCUACUAGCCUAUGGUAGGUGGACCCCCCUCCUCUAAAUAUCCUCUGAAAAAAAUGCUAAAAUAUGUGUGGAUGACACUUGGGUCCCACUGGUCCCAUUGACUAGUCAAACUGCUGACUGGGAUAACCCAGUCAAUGACAUGCGGGUCCCCCGGGCCCUUUGACUAGUCAACAGUCUCAGUUGACUGCUGACUGGGCAGUCAACUGGACCCCACCUGUCAGCCUCUUACACACUGUUGGGUACACUUCCUUGUGUACCCGUAGCAUUUUAGGUAUUUUACUUUUUGAUUUAUUAGUAAAUCUAGAAAUUCCAGAAAUUGUCUAAAUCUUCGAAAAAUCAUAUAAAAUAAUCCGUAGCUCGGAUGAAAAUGUUUUCUACAUGAGAGUUGCUCAGAAAAAUCCAACGAAUCCGAAUAUGCUAUCCGUUCAUCUGUCACAUGCCCCUAGCAUGAUGAACAUGGAACUUUCCCCCUGCGGUCAUCUGUCUGACACAGAUCCGGAACCAGGAACACCUUCCCAGUUGAAUUCCCCCUUCACCUAUAACGUCUAGGACCGCGUUAGAACACGUCUAGCUAUGCUUUUUAUUCUGUUAUGCACUUGCUUGCUAUGUAUUUACUGUUUCUCCCCCCUCUUCUCUUCGGUAGACCCCAUGGCGGCUGUCGAUGCCGCUGUGAUCGACUACGUCACCGACGACCCCUCAUUCUUGUCUGAGCAACCAGGCAAGCCCCCCUUUUGAUCAUCCCGAUAUCGCCCAUUCCAUUCACUCAUGCUUGCAUUAGAUUUUGCUAUUGUUAUUGUUUGCUCCUAUUCUGAUGCAUAGCCUGAUUUUGUAACCUGCUCAUUCUUACCUACCUGCUUAUCCUAAACUGCUUAGUAUAGGUUGGUUAGUGAUUCAUCAGUGACCCCCACCUUGUCCUUGUUGCCCCUGCUUCAUCAUCGAAGACCCGUUCAAUGGGAUCGAAGACCAGAGCCCGACACCUCACAUCACAUCACGCCCCUUUUAUUGCUCGACUCUGCAGGGUUACCAUCGAGUGCCCAGGGUGGACCCUCAUACAUCACUCCUGAUGAGAUCUCUGUAGUGUAGCUAUUCGUUCGUGGUCAUCGAGGGUGAUUUCCUCCUUAACCACUUUCGAUACGGCUCUGUCGUGCAACCCCUCAACUGUGAACCUCGGGGUGGUUCCUCUUAUGUUCACCUUGAUGAUUACAUCAAGUGGAAUUCACCGGGGGUGAUUCCUCGGGUUUUCCCCUUGAUGUUUGGACACACAGUUACUAUGGUUACUAUGUCUUUACACCGAACCAUGUUACUAAAGACGGGUCGGCCCUGAGGGGUACCCGCGAGACGGGUUGACCUGGAGGGUGCCCGCGAGAUAAUUACGAGGCGUGGCCGGGCAUUCCUAGCCCUUGCCGCAAGUCCUCGAGACGAGGCAACGUGGUCACAUCUUUCGUGAGUCUCUGCUAGUUACCGCGCAUUCCUAAUCCACUAUGAUUUGGAUAUUUGAUCUGAGGGGCCUCUGGCCUGAUAGCACUAACCAUCACGUGGGCAUAGUAUGGGCGUUCUGCGUUGUAUACAUCAGCCGAAGCUUAAUAGACGUCAGCGACUGAGCGGUGCGCGCCGGGUUCGACUGGUAAGCUCCUGCCUUUUUAGGGAGGUAGCUAGGUCUGCUCACCGGCCACCCACGCAACGUGCAGGAGUUCCCGGGGAGAUGGCCCAUGACCCUUGGGGGCAUAGGUUUAGUCCGGCGUGCUGGCCUCUCUAUUAAGCCUAGGUCGGGUUGCGGCGUAUUGUUUGGCCGAGGCCGGGCAUGACCCAGGAAAGUGUGUCCGGUCGGAGUUAAUCGAGCGUGGUGGGUAAGUUGGUGCACCCCUGCAGGGAAGAAAACAUCUAUCGAUAGCCUGUCCUACGGUAACGGACACUUGGAGUUGUAUCUCGAUCGAUACAACUAGAACUGGAUGGUGAUGAGAAUUGGAUUUGGAUGAUAACUGGAUAGUAUGGCUCUGGGAUUUCUUUCUCGCAGGGAGUCGAGAAAGGAUCUCCGGCCAAGGUUGAUAACACUACUACUACUUUACUUUAUGCUACUCUACUCCCUCCUGUUGCUGCGAGAUGGUGGUUUCCAGAAGAUGCUAGUCUUCGAUAGGACUAGGCCUUCUCUCUUUUCUGGCAUUUCUGCAGCCCAGUCCACAUAUACAGCCUUCCUUUGAUAAUGUUGCAUAUGUAGUGUAGAUCCUUGCUUGCGAGUACUUUGGAUGAGUACUCACGGUUGCUUUGCUCCCCCUUUUCCCUCUUUCUUCUUCUUUUCGGUUGAUGCAACCAGAUGUCGGAGCCCAGGAGCCAGAUGCCACCGCCGAUGCCUACUACUAGGUGGAGACCGACGAUGACCAGGAGUAGUUAGGAGGCUCCCAGGCAAGAGGCCUUGCCUUUUCGUUCGUAGAUGCUUUUGUGCUAGCCUUCUUAAGGAAAACUUGUCUAACUCAUGUCUGUACUCAGAUAUUGUUGCUUCCGCUGACUCUUGUGUUUUCGAGCUUAUGUAUUCGAGCCCUCGAGGCCCCUAGCUUGUAAUAUAAAGCUUGUAUUAUUUUAAUUUGUGUCUAGAGUUGUGUUGUGAUAUCUUCCCG
rnacentral:lncRNA from 1 species